rnacentral:rRNA from 1 species
AACGCGUGGGAAUCUACCGUACCCUACGGAAUAGCUCCGGGAAACUGGAAUUAAUACCGUAUACGCCCUUCGGGGGAAAGAUUUAUCGGGGUAUGAUGAGCCCGCGUUGGAUUAGCUAGUUGGUGGGGUAAAGGCCUACCAAGGCGACGAUCCAUAGCUGGUCUGAGAGGAUGAUCAGCCACAUUGGGACUGAGACACGGCCCAAACUCCUACGGGAGGCAGCAGUGGGGAAUAUUGGACAAUGGGCGCAAGCCUGAUCCAGCCAUGCCGCGUGAGUGAUGAAGGUCUUAGGAUUGUAAAGCUCUUUCACCGAUGAAGAUAAUGACGGUAGUCGGAGAAGAAGCCCCGGCUAACUUCGUGCCAGCAGCCGCGGUAAUACGAAGGGGGCUAGCGUUGUUCGGAAUUACUGGGCGUAAAGCGCACGUAGGCGGAUAAUUAAGUCAGGGGUGAAAUCCCGCAGCUCAACUGCGGAACUGCCUUUGAUACUGG